GAUGAACGCUAGCGGCAGGCCUAAUACAUGCAAGUCGAACGGGAUCUGAGGGUAGCUUGCUACCCGAUUUGAGAGUGGCGCACGGGUGCGUAACGCGUGAGCAACCUACCCAUAUCAGGGGGAUAGCCCGAAGAAAUUCGGAUUAACACCGCAUAAUCAUACGCUAACACAUGUUAAUGUAUUUAAAUAUUUAUAGGAUAUGGAUGGGCUCGCGUGACAUUAGCUAGUUGGUAAGGUAACGGCUUACCAAGGCGACGAUGUCUAGGGGCUCUGAGAGGAGAAUCCCCCACACUGGUACUGAGACACGGACCAGACUCCUACGGGAGGCAGCAGUAAGGAAUAUUGGUCAAUGGGCGCAAGCCUGAACCAGCCAUGCCGCGUGCAGGAUGACUGCCCUAUGGGUUGUAAACUGCUUUUGUUAGGGAAUAAACCUACUUAUGUAUAAGUAGCUGAAUGUACCUAAAGAAUGAGGAUCGGCUAACUCCGUGCCAGCAGCCGCGGUAA
rnacentral:rRNA from 1 species